rnacentral:misc_RNA from 1 species
CUUGGUGUGUGUUUGCAUGUUGGAUCCCUGUUUAGGCAGCGAAGGCAUGUUUUACACACCUUUUCAGUUGUUGGCUCAACUGUAGCUUGGUCUGCUUGGGUUUCUUGUGUUGCAUACCUCUAAAAAGGUACUUGGUCGGUCAAAAUGUCCCACAUUCUUACAUGCACUAUACCCUUUGGGGUUGUUGUGUGUGUAGACCAUGAAGCAUCCAUAGUGUUCCACUUCUCAAGCGCCUUGCCCGUGUUGUGGGUUGUUGGCACAUUAUGGAUUGCUUGAUCACUCGGAUAUGGAAUAUUGAGUGGGUAUGAGGCAUCUUUGCUUCUAUUUGCCCCAAAAUUAAGCGUUCGACGCUUGUUGCGGACGACUGUUGUUGCUGUAUUGAUUUGGCCUUUGAGGUUUGAAUCAUGCGCUAGCAACGUCGCUGAGGAA